UCCCUGGUGGCCUAGUGGGUGAUGAUUCGGCGUUGUUACUGCUGUGGCUCAGGUUCGAGCCCUGGCCCAGGAA
rnacentral:tRNA from 1 species